rnacentral:lncRNA from 1 species
CUGGAUGACUAAACUCAUCAGGGACAAGGAUAAUAUGGCCUCUUGGGUGCUUUCCCUUCAAACUGAACUUUCCUAAAAUCUCAGAAGUAGCGGUACCAUACUCAACCUAGAAGAAAGAAACCAGCUGUGGUUUUUUGAGGCUGAAGAAUGAGAUUGUGGAGUGAUGGGAUGAGGAUAACUACAAAGAAAACUUUAGGCUCUUCACACUUGGCUCCUCACUCUUCUUUCUCCUGCUACCAUGUAAAGAAGGUCUUGAUUCCCCUCCAACUUCCGCCAUGAUUAUAGGUUUCCUGACGCCUCCCCAGCCAUCCUAAACUAGGAACAUGUGAAGAUUUGUUAUAUAGAUAAAU